AUUGAACGCUGGCGGCAUGCUUUACACAUGCAAGUCGAACGGUAACAGGUUAAGCUGACGAGUGGCGAACGGGUGAGUAAUGCAUCGGAACGUGCCCGGUCGUGGGGGAUAACGCAGCGAAAGCUGCGCUAAUACCGCAUACGAUCUGAGGAUGAAAGCGGGGGACCGUAAGGCCUCGCGCGAUCGGAGCGGCCGAGGUCAGAUUAGGUAGUUGGUGGGGUAAAGGCUCACCAAGCCGACGAUCUGUAGCUGGUCUGAGAGGACGACCCGCCCCACUGGGACUGCGACACGGCCCAGACCCCUACGGGAGGCGGCAGGGGGAAAUUUUGGACAAUGGGCGGAAGCCUGAACCAGCAAUGACGCGUGCAGGAAGAAGGCCUUCGGGUUGUAAACUGCUGUUGUACGGAGCGAAAAGGCUCUCUCUAAUACAGGGGGCUCAUGACGGUACCGUAAGAAUAAGCACCGGCUAACUACGUGCCAGCCGCCGCGGUAA
rnacentral:rRNA from 1 species